UACGUAGGGUGCAAGCGUUGUCCGGAAUUAUUGGGCGUAAAGAGCUCGUAGGCGGCUUGUCGCGUCGGCUGUGAAAACCCGCGGCUCAACUGUGGGCGGGCAGCUGAUACGGGCAGGCUGGAGUUCGGUAGGGGAGACUGGAAUUCCUGGUGUAGCGGUGAAAUGCGCAGAUAUCAGGAGGAACAUCAGUGACGAAGGCGGCUACCUGGCCCAAUACUGACACUCAGGUGCGACAGCGUGGGGAGCAAACAGG
rnacentral:rRNA from 1 species